rnacentral:rRNA from 1 species
AACGAACGCUGGCGGCAUGCCUAACACAUGCAAGUCGAACGAGACCUUCGGGUCUAGCGGCGCACGGGUGCGUAACGCGUGGGAACCUGCCUUUAGGUUCGGAAUAACUCAGAGAAAUUUGAGCUAAUACCGGAUGAUGUCUUCGGACCAAAGACUUAUCGCCUUUAGAUGGGCCCGCGCUGGAUUAGCUAGUUGGUGGGGUAAAGGCCUACCAAGGCGACGAUCCAUAGCUGGUCUGAGAGGAUGAUCAGCCACACUGGGACUGAGACACGGCCCAGACUCCUACGGGAGGCAGCAGUGGGGAAUAUUGGACAAUGGGCGAAAGCCUGAUCCAGCAAUGCCGCGUGAGUGAUGAAGGCCUUAGGGUUGUAAAGCUCUUUUACCCGAGAUGAUAAUGACAGUAUCGGGAGAAUAAGCUCCGGCUAACUCCGUGCCAGCAGCCGCAGUAAAAC